UACGAGGGGGGCAAAUGUUGUUCGGAAUCACUGGGCGUAAAGGGAGCGUAGGCGGGUUUCUAAGUCGGGUGUUUAAUCCCGGGGCCCAACCCCGGACAGGCACUUGAAACUGGGAAUCUUGAAUAGUGGAGAGGUCAGUGGAAUUGGGGGUGUAGCGGUGGAAUGCGUAGAGAUCCCCAAGAACACCAGUUGCGAAGGCGGCUGACUGGACACAUAUUGACGCUGAGGCUCGAAAGCAUGGGGAGCAAACAGG
rnacentral:rRNA from 1 species